rnacentral:rRNA from 1 species
GCCAGACUCCUACGGGAGGCAGCAGUGGGGGAUAUUGCACAAUGGGGGAAACCCUGAUGCAGCGACGCCGCGUGGGUGAAGAAGCGCCUCGGCGCGUAAAGCCCUAUCAGCAGGAAAGAAAAUGACGGUACCUGACUAAGAAGCCCCGGCUAACUACGUGCCAGCAGCCGCGGUAAUACGUAGGGGGCAAGCGUUAUCCGGAUUUACUGGGUGUAAAGGGAGCGUAGACGGCAGUGCAAGUCCGGAGUGAAAGCCCGGGGCUCAACCCUGGGACUGCUCUGGAAACUGUAAAGCUGGAGUGCGGGAGGGGCAGGCGGAAUUCCUGGUGUAGCGGUGAAAUGCGUAGAUAUCAGGAGGAACACCGGCGGCGAAGGCGGCCUGCUGGACCGUAACUGACGUUGAGGCUCGAAAGCGUGGGGAGCAAACAGGAUUAGAUACCCCUGUACC